AAAAAUAAAUAAAUAAAUAAAUGUAAAUGUAUCUAAAUGUAAAUACGUGGAACAUGAGUAAAUUUUAUGUAAAAGCAUAUUUAAUCCAUGGUUAGCUAACGAAAUAAAGAAUGAAGAAAAAUGAUGUUAAAAGAAAGAGGUUGUAGAAGGGUUUCGCUGUGUUCAAUAAAAUAAAGAAAAAAAAUCUCUUUAAUUACUUGGAUCUGAUAAGUAUAUUUAAAAUUGGAAAUGUAUUGAGUUUAUUUCUUGUUUUUUAUUCCUUAUAAAAUAAAUAGAGCACCAAUUAGAAUGUUGAAUGGUACAAUAUAAAAAAGAUUUAAAUUAAUAAAAUAAGUAAUAGUAACAUUAACUAAGGAAAUGUUUUGUCGUAUGGAAAAAGAGCGCAGAGAAAACCUGGAACAACUCUGUACGAUACAAAGAGGCAAUAAUUAAUUUCUUACAAAAAGAAUAUAAUCGGCAUCACUUAAUAUAUCGGGUGCAAUACAAGCUCGAUGUCAUUGCUCCAGCUCUAAAAAUUGACGCAGACACUUCAAACAUGACGUAAGAGUCUUAUCGUAUGGCUUCAGCCCAAGUUAGAGAAAUAAGCGCAAUAGCACAGCACACCUAAAGAGCAGUUAAUAAUAUCGUACGAGAUAGCAUCUAACCGUAAACCGGAUAUUUUAUCAUCUCUCGUGAAACCCAAUUUGACUAAUAUAAGGAAUAAUUCGCCGCCAUACGCACUACAGCGCCCAACAGUGUCAAUAGUAAUGUACAAAUUCUCAAUUACCAACUAUAAAAUAUAGCAGCAACGAGUGAUAGCAACAGCUGGGAUCAAAAUAAGUGGUACAGUGCGAACCCUGUAGUUUUGAAUCACCAGUUAUCACUAUCUAUAUGUAUUAAGAAUCACCAACAACGAAGUACAACGCCAGAACAACAGCCUAAUAAUAUGCAUAAUAAUAAUACCAAACCUUAUAGCUAACGAUAAGCACAAAACGGUAACACGUGUGUUUCUAAAGAAUCCAUCGUAGAUUACACAUAUCCGAUGAGUUACAUUACAAAAACCACAUAGCCGAAUAGCUUGACGACAAUGUCAAAACCACUUACACCGCAAGCCUCUAGCAGCAUUAUUAGCAGCCAAAUAAAUCAAGGCGAUGAAUAGUUUAAUUGAUUUGAGUAAUCAGGAUAUUUUAAAAUUUCUAAAAUAGAGCAGUAAAAAUUAAAAAAUUAAUCCUAGACGAAAACAGAAAAAGUGAUAUGAUCGUUUUUCUUUUUUUGUUUUAUUUGUUGUGCGUAUGUGCGUAUGAUUUGUCGAGUAUAUUAAAAACGACAACAAAAGUAUGAAGCUUUAUGGAAAUUACUGAUCUAAAAAUGGUUCUUUAAUAUUGGUUAGAACUUUACGCAUUUAGUGCUGCUUUAUUGUAUGCGGCCGUUAGAGUAUCUUUUUCACAUGCUUAACAGAAUUCUAUAAAAACUCUGCCUCUACAUGUUACUUAGGUCUUACGAUAAUAAUGUUAUCUUCAUUCUUAUAUCCAGAAUUAAUAGCACCACAAUAUUUGGUGACAUUUCUUUAUCAAGAGAACAAACACCCCCAAGCCUACUUAACAUUUUAGGUACAAAUAUACGGAAUGUACGUUGCGUUGUAGAGAUCCUUUGGAUGUAGGUAGCCAAGACGUCAUUUUUAGAAGGAUAAUGGUCUGCAAAUAGGAACAGAGCUCAACGUUUAUGUUCGUGCGAUAGUUUUAACAAAUUGUAAUCAAUUUACUCAAAAUUAUUAACGUAAACGGUAUGGAAUCAAAGAUUUUACUUCAGCUCUCGUAUCAACGCGGGCUGACGAUUGUAUGCCUUCAAAAAUUAAAGAACGAAUUUCGCCACCUUAGAACGGCUGAGGUACCUACGAAGAUACGGAGGGCAAUUGUCAGUGUCAGUGGAACCGAAAGCCGAUUUCAAAAAGUUCAUACAAUUGGAUCGCUUUGCUUUACAUUAUGGCGCGAAACUU